UUCGUUCUCUCGCACUGCACUCUUUCGAGCUCUUCGCCUGGCUCGCGCGGCGGCCGAUGGGAAGCGAACCGGGCGGCGGCGGCGGCAGCGGCAGCGGCAGCAGCGGCAGCGGCGGUGUUGGCGAGGAGCGGCGGGCGGCGCUGCUGCGGCGGAUAACGGAGGAGGGCGGGUUCGCGUACGUGAGCUCGGCGGAGAAGGCGGCGUGCGGGGACCUGCGCGCGGCGGAGGCGGCGCGGGAGAUGGCGUGGGAGCAGCUCCACUCGGGGCCCUGGCACGCGGUGGUGCCCGCGUGGCGCGACGCCUACGCCAUGGCCUGUCUCCACGUCGCGGAGCUCCGCGCCGGCGCCGGGGACCGUCGCGAGGCGCUCCGGGCGCUCGACAUGGGCCUCAUCAUGGGGGGCCCGCUCCUCCGCGGCGAGCUCGACGCCGCCGUUGAGAGAAUCGCGGCGGAGGGGAGCGAGAAGCGGCGGGAGGAGGAAGAGAAGGGGGACGCCGAGAGGUGGAGGGAGGAGCUCGCGAAGAAUCAGAACUUGGAAGAGGUGCUUCAAGCUCUGCCGAAGAAAUCUCUGUCUUGUAAGAUUAUUGAAAAGCGAUCAUCCAUGUCUUUGGAAACCUUUAUUAGUGAUCACUUCUUACGCGAGUCUCCGGUUGUAAUCAGUGGCUGUAUCGACCAUUGGCCGGCGCGGACAAAAUGGAAGGACAUUGAAUAUCUGAAAGGGAUUGCAGGGGAUCGAACUGUGCCGGUGGAGGUUGGAAAGAAUUACCUCUGCACCGAGUGGAAGCAAGAGCUGAUCACCUUCUCCCAAUUCCUGGAGAGGAUUUGGUGCACCGACUGUCCGGCCAAUUUGACAUAUCUAGCCCAGCAUCCUUUGUUUGACCAAAUAAGAGAGCUACGCAAUGACAUAAUGAUUCCAGAUUUUUGUUUUGCUGGUGGUGGGGAACUCCAAUCUCUUAAUGCCUGGUUUGGCCCACUUGGGACUGUGACUCCAUUACACCACGAUCCCCACCAUAAUCUUUUUGCUCAGAAAAUUGAAGUGAUGAGUGAUGCAAUUGCCUAACACAUUGUCCUGACUCCUGAACCAUGGACAUCACGAGCAGGCGUUAAUUAUAGAUGGCAGUGGCCAUUGGAAGGAUUUAUUAUUGAUAUAUCUUGACUUAAAGAAUGAAGUUCCAAGAAACAUGGUAUGCUAAUUAUUUGUAAAUGAUGUUAAUCAUUUACCUCAUUCCGGAAGGAUAUCCUGCUCAUGUUGCUCGUCUUUCUCAGUGAAGCUUAUAACUAGUAAGGACCUUAACACACAUUCAGUUACCUCACUCCUUCGCAAUCCGUAAUGUAAUAUUAACUUUUGCCGCUUCUCUUUCUCCAUCACUGCGAGUUUGGGAAAGGUUGGACAAUCUGAUUUCUCGUAUUAAUUUUCUUGACAGGUUGUUGGCAGGAAGUAUAUACGACUCUAUCCCGCUUCAGUGUCAGAUGACUUGUACCCUCAUGCGGAGUCCAUGCUACAUAAUACCAGCCAGGUAGACCUUGACAAUAUUGAUUCUGAGGAGUUCCCGAGGGUAGAAAAUCUCGAUUUC